CUCCCAUGGCGUAGUGGUCACUGCACUCGCCUUGCACGCGGGAGACCCGGGUUCGAUUCCCGGCGGGGAGG
rnacentral:tRNA from 1 species